ACCACUCUGAUACAGGUCACCAGCGGUGGGCCCCACCACCCAGACGGGUCCUGGUUCCUCCCCCUCCAAGCCGGCUCCCAAAUUUGAGGCCCAAAGCCCCGUCGGCCCCCAUCGCCACGCCGCCGGCCACGCCCCAGACGACCCCGCCCGCCGCCGCCGCCUCCCGCUCCCUCCGCGCGCAGCCCUCGUCCGGCCGCCCGGGUCCGAGCGCGCUCGCUCCUCCUCCCCACGUCGGACAGUUUAAGUGUGGCUUCAUUGCAUGAGUAGUUGCAGUUAGCGUGGCUUUUCUCCGUGCUUGCUCCUGGUCGUGCUUUGCCUUGCAAAGGAAGGAAUCAUGACAUCUGUUGUUCACAGUGUUUCAGGUGACCACAGGGCUGAGGAUCAAAAUCAACAGAAGAAGCAAGCUGAACCUGGGGACCAGCAAGAAGCCCCAGUUACUAGUUCAGAUAGCCAACCAACAGUAGGCACACCAUCAACAGAUUAUGUGGCACCCUAUGCCCCUCAUGACAUGAGCCAUGCAAUGGGUCAAUACGCUUAUCCAAAUAUUGACCCAUACUAUGGAAGCCUUUAUGCAGCAGCUUACGGUGGACAGCCAUUGAUGCAUCCACCGUUAGUUGGAAUGCAUCCGGCUGGCUUACCUUUGCCUACCGAUGCAAUUGAAGAGCCUGUGUAUGUAAAUGCAAAGCAAUACAAUGCCAUAUUAAGACGGCGUCAAUCUCGGGCUAAAGCUGAAUCAGAACGAAAGCUUAUCAAGGGGCGUAAGAUUCGUGAAAGGAAGACAAGGGAUGUCAACCAAGUCAAAUGCAUCAAGGACGAAGCAAACCAACUAUUAGUGAAGAGUGAAGAGAUCAAGAACAGAUGGAAGGAGUACUUCAACAAAUUGUUCAAUGGAGGGAAUGAGAGUGCUACAAUAGAAUUGGACGAACCAUUCGAUGACAACAACAGGGGUUUUGUACGAAGGAUACAAGAAUAUGAAGUUAAGGAGGCGCUAAAAAGGAUGAAGGUAGGAAAGGCGAUGGGCCCUGAUGGUAUCCCUAUCGAGGUAUGGAGAUGUCUUGGAGACAUAGCGAUAGUAUGGCUGACUAAGCUUUUCAACACCAUCUUUCGGGCAAACAGAAUGCCCGACGAGUGGCGGCGGAGUACAUUAGUACCAAUCUUCAAGAACAAAGGAGAUGUUCAAAGUUGUACUAAUUACCGUGGAAUUAAGCUCAUGAGCCAUACAAUGAAGCUAUGGGAGAGAGUCAUUGAACACCGCCUGCGAAAGAUGACGAGCGUGACCCAAAAUCAGUUUGGUUUCAUGCCCGGGAGAUCAACUAUGGAGGCCAUUUUCUUACUAAGACAACUUAUGGAGAGAUUCAGAGAACAAAAGAAAGACCUGCAUAUGGUCUUCAUAGACUUGGAGAAGGCUUAUGACAAAGUACCUAGGAGUGUAAUGUGGUGGGCCUUGGAAAAACACAAAGUAGCAACAAAGUACAUUAAUCUUAUUAAAGAUAUGUACACUAAUGUUGUGACAAGUGUCCGAACAAGUGAUGGAGACACCGAUGACUUUCCAAUUAACAUAGGACUACAUCAAGGGUCGGCUUUGAGCCCUUAUCUUUUCGCUUUGGUGAUAGAUGAGGUCACAAGGGACAUACAAGGAGUUUUACCGUGGUGUAUGCUUUUUGCCGAUGAUGUGGUACUUAUUGAGGAGAGUAGGAGUGGUGUUUCUCAAAAGUUGGAAUUGUGGAGGCAGACGCUGGAAGCAAAAGGUUUUAGGCUUAGUAGGUCUAAAACAGAGUAUAUGAAGUGUGAUUUCAGUGCCAUGGGGUAUGAGGAUGGCGAUGUUAGUCUUGAUGGGCAAGUGGUACCCAAGAAAGACACUUUUCGUUACUUAGGAUCAAUGCUUCAAAAGGAGGGAGACAUCGAUGAGGAUGUCAGUCAUAGAAUUAAAGCCGGAUGGUUGAAGUGGCGACAAGCUGCGGGUGUCUUAUGCGACCACCGGGUGCCACGCAAACUAAAAGACAAAUUCUACAGGACAGCAAUCCGGCCGGCUAUGUUGUAUGGAGCAGAAUGUUGGCCCACUAAAAGACGACAUGUCCAACAACUAAGUGUGGCAGAGAUGCGUAUGUUGCGCUGGAUAUGUGGCCACACAAGGAGAGAUCGAGUCCGGAAUGAUGAUAUACGAGAGAGAGUAGGAGUGGCGCCAAUUGAGGAGAAGCUUAUGCAACAUCGCUUGAGAUGGUUUGGACAUAUCCAACGAAGACCUGAAGAGGCACCAGUGCAUAUCGGAAUAAUUAGGCGUCCCGAAAAUGUGAAGAGAGGUAGAGGUCGACCAACUUUGACGUGGACAGAGGCUGUGAAGAGAGACCUGAAGGAGUGGAAUAUUGACAAAGAGCUCGCCGCAGAUAGGAAGGGGUGGAAGUGUGCAAUUCACGUGCCAGAACCCUGAUUGAUAGUUUCGCUUUUCCUCCUUAAUCGUUUGACCUUUUCUUGUGUCCAUUUUAGAUCUUGCUGGUCCUUGUGGGUUUUAUCUCUUUUAUGUGUUUCCCCGUUUCGUUGUUUUCGGUUCUCCUUUGCCUUUGUUUCCCUUUUCUGUUCUUUGGGGGUUGAGCUCUGAGGUUUUCAUACGGGGUUUCAUCUCUAGCCUACCCCAACGUGCUUGGGACAAAAAGGCUUUGUUGUUGUUGUUGUUGUUGUUGUUCGAUGUUCUCUGAUAUCUGAAAUUUCGACAUGCCACGUUUUUUUUCAAUGCCUUCACGGGCGUUGCUUAUCACAAAAGCAGUAAAGGAUUUAUGAACGUAAAUUGGGUGCCACACAUUGACAAAGUUGCAACAUCGACCCUAUCUCCAUGAGUCACGUCAUCAGCAUGCCUUGAAAAGGGCCAGGGGAGCUGGAGGUCGGUUUCUCAACUCAAAGUCAGAUGACAAGGAAGAGAACUCCGACUCGAGUCACAAAGAGAAUCAGAACGGAGUUGCGCCCCACAGGAGCGGCCAACCGUCAACCCCUCCGUCUCCCAACGGUGCAUCGUCAGCUAAUCAGGGCAGGCAGUCGUGAAUGAUGGAUGAUUCAAAACUCACAGCUGAAGAGAUUUCAGCCCCUGAGCUAGAUAUGGCAGCAGUUUUGUACAGAAAACGCUAGCAACAUGGUGUCGGUCGGUCGGUCGGUUGUUGUAGGACAUGUUCCAUAGAAAAAGCAUAGACGAGUCUACAGGUUUUGGAGCCUUGGUUUGGUCCUCUGUGUAUUCACCUUUCUGUACAAUCUUAGUAGCGUUGUGUACCUUCCCCUGGAAGGAAGGAUAGCUUCAGUUAGCGCUUCAGAAAGUCAAGUGUGUAGCAUAUUGGCUUAUUGUUUGCUUUGCUUGGACAAUGGAGAUUUGGGAGUGGAGUUCAUAACCCUGCUGAAUAAAUACUCUUAGCUGGCUAUGUGUAUGUUGGACGACAAUAUGAUCCCUAAUGUAGUACACGUGACCACCUCAAACUGAAUCUGGCUUUGUUUAAAUGACACCCUCACAAUUGGUCACA